AGAAUCCCUUUUGGAGCCGGGGCCUGAGAUGGAGUAGGUAACCCCGGCGGUUACCGCCUGAACCACUCCUGCGGGCUGCAAAGCUUGGAGCCUGUCCCUUCCUGGACUGAGAAAAAAAAACAGCCCAACAUCCCUGCCAACGAACUGUACCAUUCAGAAGAGGAGAGCCUAAUGGUCGCAGCACUUCAGUGUCCUAUCAGAAUUGCUUGAUGAAGUUUCCUUUAUCACAAAUAAAUUUAUAUACCUUCA